GGCGAGCUCCGAGGGGCGGGUGGAAGCACCGGCUGCCUCUACUCGAGGAGAGGUGCAUAUUUCGGGAGGCGAGCGUGCUAAGGGGCGCGGAGCCACAAUGGACCUGGGAGUCCCCACUGCAUUCCCGGGAGCUCCCAAGGACCCACCGGUGGAGGGGCGCCUGGGAGCCCUUGGGAGACGCCGAGAGGCGGGAUAGGGUCCCUGCGCAGCAAAUGAGAGAGGAACCACAACGUCCUGGAGUAGAGGAGGUGGAGGCGAGCACGCACAUUGCUGGUCCUGCUGGUGCUGCUGGUCUGUGAAACACACUGAAUAACACUGCUCCAAACUACACAGCCUAGUAAGGUGACCAAAGUUUGGGAAGAGUAGAGUUCAGGCAAACAAGAAAGAAGGUUCCAAAUAUCAGGACAAAUCAAACUGAAUUUCCUCACUGUCAAUCUCUGUAACCACAGAACAGUCUUCUACCUGAAGAAUCUACUUUGUGGAUGGAUUCCCUCAGGUUUGCUGAACUGGAGGACAAUUUCAAAUACUGAAAGCAUAUUUCCUCUUUUUUGUUAUUUGUAAUGUGAUGACUUCUUUUAAGUUUAAUUUGUAUUAUUGAUAUUUUUCCAGAUUUAUUGAUAUAUUGUUGACAUGUAAUGCUGUGUCAGUUUGAGGUGUACAAUAUUAUAAUUCGAUAUACUUAUAUAUUGAGAAGUGAUUACCACAAUUAGGUUGUUAACACAUCCUUCCCCUCCUAGAAUUAUCAUUUGUUGUUGCUGUGAUGAGAACAUUUAAGAUCUACUCUCUUAGUAACUUUCAACUAUACAACACAGUGUUGUUAACAGUUGUCACCAUGCUGUACAUCAGAUCCCCAGAACUUAUUCCUCUUAUAACUAGAAGUUUGCAUUCUUUGACCAAUAUCUCCUCAUUUCUCCCACCCCCUAGCUCCUGGCAAU